AUGCGCGGCAUCGCCUCCGCCGGAACGCUCCGCCCCGGGCCAUCCGCAGCUGUCCGAUCAAAAUCCAACGCGGCAGGCCGCCCCACCCUCCACCGACGACCCCUCCUCCACCUCCGGCGAUCGCCGGAACCCUCUCUGCCGUCCAGCCGCCGCAGCCGUCGCCUCAUGCCUCCUCUUACCGCGGCCGCCCGGGCCACCAGCAGUGGCGGCGAUGCCUUCAGGGAGCUUGCCUCUGCCGCCGACUUCGCCGCCAUCGCCUCUCCCGACGGCCGCAUCUCCGUCGUCGGCUUCGGCUCCCUUCUCUCCGAGCGGAGCGCGAGGAGCACGUUCCCGGAGCUGGAGGGGUUCCGUGUGGCGGCGCUGCGCGGGUUCCGGCGCGUCUUCGCCCACGCCGCCCCCAUCUUCUUCGAGCGCGGCAUCGCCAUUGAGGCCACUAAGGAGUUCUCAAGCUUAAGCGUGGAGCAUUGUGAGGGAGAAAUGAUAGUUGUCACUGUGUUUGAAAUCAAGGAGGAGGAGGUGCCAGCAUUCAUCGAGAGAGAGCUCGAGUUCAGAUUUCUUGCGGUGGUCCCUGAAGGACUGGAUGGAGCGCCUUUUCCAAAUCCAGCUGUUGUCUGUGCACGCUAUAGCGAUGAAGAGUAUUUCCAAGUGAGAUGCAAAGGAAGCAAAGAGAUAUAUAAUCAGCACUAUGGACGAUACAAUAUUGAUAAAAUAUGGAGGGAUGAUAUCUUACCCUGUCGUCUAUAUCUCAGGCACUGUGUUCUUGCUGCCAAGAAUCUGGGAGAACCAGCAUAUAGCAACUUCUUAGACCACACCUAUCUGGGUGACCGGAGAACCACAAUAAGGGAAUACUUGGCCACGACCGGAGCUGGCAUCAUGGAAGAGGAGCCACCGGAGACGCUACGAACCCGCUAUGGUGGCUAA
rnacentral:rRNA from 1 species